GAUGAACGCUGACAGAAUGCUUAACACAUGCAAGUCUUUGGCGAAGCUGUGCUUUCCCAGCCUAGCCAAGGCGGACGGGUGAGUAACGCGUAAGGAACUUGCCCUGCAGUCAGGGAUAACAGACGGAAACGACUGAUAAGACCUGGUAAAGUCAGGCGGACUCAUGUCCAGCCUGAUGAAAAGAGAUGAUGCAGGAGAGCCUUGCGUCCUAUUAGCUUGUUGGUGGGGUAACGGCCCACCAAGGCGAUGAUAGGUAGCCGGCCUGAGAGGGUGGACGGCCAAAAGGGGACUGAGAGGCGGCCGUUACUCCUACGGGAGGAAGCGGUGGGGAAUAUUGGACAAUGGGGGCGACCCUGAUCCAGCAAUUCUGUGUGCACGAUGAAGGUUUUCGGAUUGUAAAGUGCUUUCAGCAGAGAAGAAAAAAAUGACGGUACCUGCAGAAGAAGCGACGGCUAAAUACGUG
rnacentral:rRNA from 1 species